GCACAAACUACUGGGUGAUGUUCUGUUUAAUUCAGUGUUAGUUAAAUUGCCAGUUAGAUCUGAUGUUUAUCUUAUUAUUUCAAGGUCCUUCAAAGAGUUGUUGAUGCUGAUGGCUGUGAGCAGGAAGGACCUCCUGUAGCAGUCUGUGUUACAGCCUCUGACUGAAGACACUGUUUUUCUGAUGAAGAGGACGCUCAGAGUGACAACUUGAAAGUCAUACAGAAAUGUCGUCUGGCUGAAGAUGUCAGACCUCAAAGCAGAAGCCCAAGAGGAUCAGGUGAACUGAGAUCUAUUCAGAUUCUGAGGAAAAGCCACAGAUCCAGAAAAUCUCCCCAUGACCAGCAGCCACAGCCUCCCACCUGUCCUCCACCUUCACCAUCUCAUCCACCAGCUGCUCUGUGUUCACCUGUAGCUGUUUAGUCCAACCAGUAACUCCACUAACCGACUCCCUUCAACUGGAAAUUCCUCUAUCAGACUGAAGCAUUCUGUGUAACGUCUUCAAAGCCUUAUGGAGUUGAAGAAGUUUGCCUGGGAAACCCCAGGAUGCUGCGAGCCGUUCUGACCCGUCUGACAGUCACUGGUUCUGCUGAAGAGAUGGACUCACUGGAUGAGCUCGGCCUUCCAGCCUUCACUGCAGAGAAGUUGGAAGUCCUGAACCAAAAACUGGAAUCAGGAGCUGUUCAGGAAUAAAUGGUAUGUAUAAUUUUUUAAAAACAUAAUUAGCCUUUCUCUUCACAUUAUUCUUUCCAUCUAUCAGGUGC